UUUUUCCCAAUAUUGUUGCAGAACCUACAGAUACUAUCGUCAUCCCCAGGAAGAAAACAUGGAGCAAAGAGGCGGUGCUGGAGGCUCUGUCUUCCACUGUGGGCAGGGAUCCUACAGCAUAUCCCUACAACUUCCAGGAUGAUCCUUUCCUCUCGCCCCGGACAGUUAAUGAGUUUAAGUUGUUCUCUCUCGCUAAGGAGUCUGGCAGAUCUGCAGCCAAAUUCUUUAUCAACAAUAAUCCCAAGUAUUUCACCACAGACUUCGCUGAACCACAUAUACCGGUAAGAACAC